rnacentral:rRNA from 1 species
AAGUCUGAUGGAGCAACGCCGCGUGAGUGAAGAAGGGUUUCGGCUCGUAAAGCUCUGUUGGUAGUGAAGAAAGAUAGAGGUAGUAACUGGCCUUUAUUUGACGGUAAUUACUUAGAAAGUCACGGCUAACUACGUGCCAGCAGCCGCGGUAAUACGUAGGUGGCAAGCGUUGUCCGGAUUUAUUGGGCGUAAAGCGAGUGCAGGCGGUUCAAUAAGUCUGAUGUGAAAGCCUUCGGCUCAACCGGAGAAUUGCAUCAGAAACUGUUGAACUUGAGUGCAGAAGAGGAGAGUGGAACUCCAUGUGUAGCGGUGGAAUGCGUAGAUAUAUGGAAGAACACCAGUGGCGAAGGCGGCUCUCUGGUCUGCAACUGACGCUGAGGCUCGAAAGCAUGGGUAGCGAACAGGAUUAGAUACCCUGGUAGUCCAUGCCGUAAACGAUGAGUGCUAAGUGUUGGGAGGUUUCCGCCUCUCAGUGCUGCAGCUAACGCAUUAAGCACUCCGCCUGGGGAGUACGACCGCAAGGUUGAAACUCAAAGGAUUGACGGGGGCCCGCACAAGCGGUGGAGCAUGUGGUUUAAUCGAAGCAACGCGAAGAACCUUACCAGGUCUUGACAUCCAGUGCAAACCUAAGA